GAACGCUGGCGGCAGGCCUCAUACAUGCAAGUCGAGCGGUCCUUCGGGACAGCGGCGAACGGGUUAGUAACGCGUGGGAACGUGCCCUUUAGUACGGAAUAGCCAUUGGAAACGAUGAUUAAUACCGUAUACGCCCCAAGGGGGAAAGAUUUAUCGCUAAAGGAUCGGCCCGCGUUAGAUUAGGUAGUUGGUAGGGUAAUGGCCUACCAAGCCGACGAUCUAUAGCUGGUUUGAGAGGAUGAUCAGCAACACUGGGACUGAGACACGGCCCAGACUUCUACGGAAGGCAGCAGUAGGGAAUCUUGGACAAUGGGCGAAAGCCUGAUCCAGCCAUGCCGCGUGAGUGAUGAAGGCCCUAGGGUUGUAAAGCUCUUUCGCCAGGGAAGAUAAUGACGGUACCUGGUAAAGAAACCCCGGCUAACUCCG
rnacentral:rRNA from 1 species